GGCGGCUUCCCUGGAGCCUCCCGCUGCGGGUGACGGAGCCCACGUGCCUGGAGACCGGCGCCCUCACGGUGUUGAAUGACUCUAAGGUGGAGAGGAGAGACUGUGAACCGAUGCCAGGAUCUUCAGUGAAUGAAUAAAGAGAGACAGAGAACGCACAAGCGGGAGGGGCAGAGGGAGAAGGAAUCUUCAAGCAGAC